rnacentral:rRNA from 1 species
AGAGCUUUCGCCCCAAGCAACAUCCUUCACCACGUGGAGAUGCGGUCAAUUUUUGUGUUGAUUCGGUGGAUGGUGGUGCAUGGCCGUUCUUAGUUGGUGGAGCUAGUUGUCGUGUUUAUUGCGAUAAUGAGCGAGACUCUAUCCUAUUAAAUAGGUGCGAGGUUCUCUGCACCUUGCGCCUCUUCUUAGAGGGACAAGCGGCUAAUAGCCGCACGAAACAGCGCAAUAACAGCUCUGUGAUGCCCUUAAAAGUCUGGGCCGCACGCGCGCUACGCUGAAGGAAGCAGCGUGUUUUUUAUUCCUGUCUGUAAAGACUGGGGUAACCCGUGGAACCUCCUUCGUGAUUGGAAUAGGGGCUUGCAAACUGUUCCCCUUGAACG